rnacentral:rRNA from 1 species
GACGUAGGUGGCGAACGUUAUCCGGAAUUACUGGGCGUAAAGCGUGCGCAGGCGGUUUUGUAAGCCAGAUGUGAAAGCCCCGGGCUUAACCUGGGAAUGGCAUUUGGGACUGCAAGGCUUGAGUGCGGCAGAGGAGACUGGAAUUCCUGGUGUAGCAGUGAAAUGCGUAGAUAUCAGGAGGAAUACCGAUGCGAAGGCAGGUCUCUGGGCUGACACUGACGCUCAUGCACGAAAGCGUGGGGAGCAAACGAG